rnacentral:rRNA from 1 species
UACGUAGGGUGCAAGCGUUGUCCGGAAUUAUUGGGCGUAAAGAGCUCGUAGGCGGCCAACUAAGUCGGAUGUGAAAUCCCCAGGCUCAACUUGGGAACUGCAUCCGAUACUGGAUGGCUUGAAUUCGGGAGAGGGAUGCAGAAUUCCAGGUGUAGCGGUGAAAUGCGUAGAUAUCUGGAGGAACACCGGUGGCGAAGGCGGCAUCCUGGACCGAAAUUGACGCUGAGGCGCGAAAGCCAGGGGAGCAAACGGG